AGCUUUAUAUUCAAUAAUGAUAUAAAAUUGCAAAUUUUAAGGAAUAAAUAUAAUUUAUUAAGGCUU